CCUACGGGAGGCAGCAGUCGAGAAUCAUUCACAAUGGGGGAAACCCUGAUGGUGCGACGCCGCGUGGGGGAAUGAAGGUCUUCGGAUUGUACACCCCUGUCAUGUGGGAGCCAAUUAACAAGAUAGUACCACAAGAGGAAGAGACGGCUAACUCUGUGCCAGCAGCCGCGGUAAUACAGAGGUCUCAAGCGUUGUUCGGAAUCACUGGGCGUAAAGCGUGCGUAGGCUGUUUCGUAAGUCGUGUGUGAAAGGCGCGGGCUCAACCCGCGGACGGCACCUGAUCCUGCGAGACUAGAGUAAUGGAGGGGGAACCGGAAUUCUCGGUGUAGCAGUGAAAUGCGUAGAUAGCGAGAGGAACACUCGUGGCGAAGGCGGGUUCCUGGACAUUAACUGACGCUGAGGCACGAAGGCCAGGGGAGCGAAAGGGAUUAGAUACCCGAGUAGUC
rnacentral:rRNA from 1 species